rnacentral:tRNA from 1 species
GCCCUUGUAGCAUAGCCUGGAUGGUGCGUUCGGUUGCGGUCCGAGAGGUCGGGAGUUCGAAUCUUCCCAAGGGCG